UACGGAGGGUGCGAGCGUUAAUCGGAAUAACUGGGCGUAAAGGGUACGUAGGCGGUUUAGAAAGUCAGAUGUUAAAGCGUGAGGCUCAACCUCAUAAAGCAGUUGAAACUUGUAGACUUGAGUAGUGGAGAGGAAAGUGGAAUUCCUAGUGUAGCGGUGAAAUGCGUAGAUAUUAGGAAGAAUACCAGUGGCGAAGGCGACUUUCUGGACACAAACUGACGCUGAGGUACGAAAGCGUGGGGAGCAAACAGG
rnacentral:rRNA from 1 species